rnacentral:rRNA from 1 species
CCAGACUCCUACGGGAGGCAGCAGUGGGGAAUAUUGCACAAUGGGGGAAACCCUGAUGCAGCCAUGCCGCGUGUGUGAAGAAGGCCUUCGGGUUGUAAAGCACUUUCAGCGAGGAGGAAAGGUUGAUACCUAAUACGUAUCAACUGUGACGUUACUCGCAGAAGAAGCACCGGCUAACUCCGUGCCAGCAGCCGCGGUAAUACGGAGGGUGCAAGCGUUAAUCGGAAUUACUGGGCGUAAAGCGCACGCAGGCGG